CCCGAGAGCCACUUCUGCUGCAGUGAUCCAUGAGCCGCCAGAACAGAGGGAUCAAGAGAGUGCGGGAAUGUGGCACUGUCCACCGAGCUCCUCAGGGAGCCUUUAGGGAUUUGCUUUCCAUAAAUAAAUGAGUUCUUGCAGAACAAAAGCUGAAAAUAAACAACCCCCCAAAUUCAGUGGCUGACAACCGUGAACACUUAUUCGACUCACAGGUGGCUCCACUGCACUGCGAGAGGACCAGUGGAAAUAUACAAUGCCUUUUAAGACUUGGCUUGGAACUAGAUCACUGUCACUUCCAGCCAUCAUCCAAUGGCCAAACCAAAUCACAUGACCAAACCCUCCAUCAUGGGAUAAGGGAGAGGCACUGCCUCAAGGGAGAGGGGAGGGAAUAUUUGCUGAGCGAUAAUCCAAUCUAUUAAAGCAUGUAAAGCCCCUGGCACUGUGCCUGGCAUAGAAACUCAGACUAUUAAUUCCCUUUCAUCCCAUGUUGCGUCAUUACUAUAUUUUACAGCUCAGAUUAAUUCAUUAUAAUUCACUGUAAUAA
ensembl:lncRNA